GAGGGCGUAGUAAUAAGCGCGCUACUGAUCAGCCAUGCCGCGUGAGUGAUGAAGGCCCUAGGGUUGUAAAGCUCUUUCACCGGUGAAGAUAAUGACGGUAACCGGAGAAGAAGCCCCGGCUAACUUCGUGCCAGCAGCCGCGGUAAUACGAAGGG
rnacentral:rRNA from 1 species